GACGAACGCUGGCGGCGCGCCUAACACAUGCAAGUCGAGCGAUGAAAUUUUAACCGAUCUCUUCGGAGAGAAGAUAAAAUGGAUUAGCGGCGGACGGGUGAGUAACACGUGAGAAACCUGCCUUUCACAAGGGGAUAGCCUCGGGAAACCGGGAUUAAUACCCCAUGACACAUUUCCUUCGCAUGGAAGAAAUGUUAAAACUCCGGUGGUGAAAGAUGGUCUCGCGCCUGAUUAGCUAGUUGGUGGGGUAACGGCCCACCAAGGCCAUGAUCAGUAACCGGCCUGAGAGGGUGAACGGUCACAUUGGAACUGAGACACGGUCCAAACUCCUACGGGAGGCAGCAGUGGGGAAUAUUGCACAAUGGAGGAAACUCUGAUGCAGCGACGCCGCGUGAGCGAUGAAGGCUUUCGAGUCGUAAAGCCCUGUCCUAUGGGAAGAUAAUGACGGUACCAUAGGAGGAAGCCCCGGCUAACUACGUG
rnacentral:rRNA from 1 species